AACGACGACAAGCACCGCGAGAGCUCGUCACGCAAAGUCAAAAUGCGCCGCCGCUGAGGUGCCCGCCGACGGCUUUCUACUUUUUUUUCUCUUUUUUUCCAUCGAGUGGUCAUUGGUGUGGUGUACCGUAUUUUCCACACUAAAAGGUGCACUGGAUUAUGAGGCGCACCUUCAGCGAAUGGCCUAUUUUGUCUUUUUUUUUCAUAUAUUGGACGCACCGCAUUAUAAGACGCAAUCCACAAUGCAUCCACUAGAUGGAGCUACGCUCGAAGAAAUGCAAACAGAACGAUCAGAUGUCAGUAAGCGCGACGUGAACGACGACAAGCACCACGAGAGCUCGUCACGCAAAGUCAAAAUGCGCCGCCGCUGAGGGGCCCGCCGACGGCUUUCUACUUUUUUUUUCUUUUUUUUCCAUCGAGUGGUCAUUGGUGUGGUGUACCGUAUUUUCCACACUAAAAGGUGCACUGGAUUAUGAGGCGCACCUUCAGUGAUUGGCCUAUUUUGUCACUUUUUUUCAUAUAUUGGACGCACCGCAUUAUAAGACGCAAUCUACAAUGCAUCCACUAGAUGGAGCUACGCUC